UACGUAGGGCGCAAGCGUUGUCCGGAAUUAUUGGGCGUAAAGAGCUCGUAGGCGGCUUGUCACGUCGGUUGUGAAAGCCCGGGGCUUAACCCCGGGUCUGCAGUCGAUACGGGCAGGCUAGAGUGUGGUAGGGGAGAUCGGAAUUCCUGGUGUAGCGGUGAAAUGCGCAGAUAUCAGGAGGAACACCGGUGGCGAAGGCGGGUCUCUGGGCAACAACUGACGCUGAGGAGCGAAAGCGUGGGGAGCGAACAGG
rnacentral:rRNA from 1 species